GGCUAGCAUAUGUUAAGAAUGCUAAGUAAGAAAUAUAUAUAGGUGGACAUGAAUAAACCUAUAGAUCGAGUGGCAUUGAACCUAGUGUCGAGAACAUAGGUUAAACAAAUGUGAUUUUGAACCUAGUGUCGGUGAACAUAGGUUAAAUAAGAAUGAUGCUAAACCUAAUGUAAAGAACAUAGGUUAUGAUAUAAAGGUGCUUAACCUAGAGUCAAGUGAACCUAGGUUGGAAAGAAUAAUAAUCCUAGUGUAAUAAACCUAGGUUAAGAAUGUGAAAGCAAUGAACCUAAUGGGCUAACUUAGGUUGAGUAAAGGCUUAGACCUANCCGAAAAUCGGAGUUACUAUUCACUUAAGUGAAAUUUAAAAAUCGCGUAACUUCUCCAUUUUAGCUCAUUUUCUCCUGAAACUUGACGAGUGCUUAUGUAAUUAAAUUACACACAUAAACAUCGUCAACAGAGAGUUUAGUUGCACUGUAAAAAUCUCAGUCCUUACAAUAUAGGCGGAAGUGCCGAUCUCCCAUUCAUUGGAGUGAUGUAGGCGAGCGAGUUGAGUUCGGUCCAGAUGUUCUGCGAGAGGCGGAGGAGAAAGUCCACCUUGCUCGCAAAAGGUUGCUCACGGCGCAAUCACGACAAAAAAGCUAUGCAAAUAAACGCAGUAGAGAUUUGGAGUUCGCAGUGGGUGACCGCGUGUUCUUGAAGGUUUCGCCGAUACGAGGCGUGAAAAGGUUCGGGGUGCGAGGAAAGCUGAGUCCUCGUUAUAUUGGCCCCUACGAGAUCUUGGAGCGCAUUGGGACGGUGGCGUAUCGAGUUGCAUUGCCCCCGAAACUUGCGGGUGUGCACAAUGUCUUCCACGUCUCCCAAUCUUCGCAGGUAUAUGCAUGAUCCCUAGCAUGUUCUAGUAUAUGAGCCGCCGGAGCUUCAAGAUGAUAUGAGCUAUGAAGAGUUUCCGGUGGAGAUAUUGGCUCGAGAAGUGCACAAGUUAAGGAAUCGGGAAAUUCCCUAUGUUCGAGUCAAGUGGAGCAAUCACGAUGAUCGCGAAGCCACUUGGGAGCUCGAGGACCAGAUGAAGGCAAAUCAUCCUCACCUAUUUGGGGAUUGAGGUAAGAGUUCGAUUCGAGUUUAAAAGUUGAGUUGUUUCGAGGACGAAACUCCUUUUAAGGGGUGGAGGAUGUGAGAUAUUGGAAACUCGACGAUAUUUGCUCACUUUGGCCAAAUGGACCAAAGUAAGCAAUCGAAAGGCUUGGACAAGUUCCAAUUGGUACUCCAACAAGUUUGGAAGAGUAUAAAUGAGUUCCAAGGGUGUUGGAAGGGUUUUGACGUUGAUCGGCGCGAAGUAGAGCCGAAACAGGUCAAACAGCACAUUCUGGAACUGCUGUACUGGUACAACAUGAUGGUUGUACCGGUACAACCAUCAAGGGUAGGCUGAUGGUUGUACCGGUACAAGGGUGGCCUUGUACCGGUACAAACCCGUCGAAACUGAGCGACCGAGCCUCAGGUUUGCUCUCGGGUUUGCUAUCACAGGGCCUUGUACCGGUACAAGAGCCCGUGAACCGAUACAAGGGCACCCGAACAGCGGGUUAAGUUGUAAAAAUAGAAAAUAGAGGGACUCUUUUGGAUUUUGUUACAUUAGAGAGUUGUUAACCCUCUCUCUCAGCCUCUUUCCCUCUCACUCUCACAGCCUCUCUCUCUCUCUAGCCUCUCUCUCUACCCGAAAUAGAGAAUAAGAAGGAGAAAAGGAAAAAGAAGGAGAGAAAGAAGAAGAAGAGAGGAAGAAAAGGAAGGAGAAGAUCAAGGAGAAGAAGAAGAAGCUCUCUUCCUCCACGUUUUCAAGCUAGGGCUUGCUUUGGAGCAAACCCUAAAGGUAAGCCUCAACCCUAAUGUGUGAUUUCUAGGGUUUAGGGCUUUUUGGUUGGUUUUAAUGGUUCAAAUGGAACCUCAUAAGCUUAGAGAUCAUGGAUCUAGCUCACAAUGAAGCUAGAAACCAUUGAUCCCCAUGGGUGCUAAACCUAGGGUUAGAUUUUGGGGUUUUGAAAAUAUAAGGGUUUGAUCUCUUUUGACGGGUUAGAAACCUAAUUCCUAUGCUCCCAAACGCGUAGGCGAAGACGGUUCGUCGAUCCGACGAGUGAGCGCGGAGAUCUCGCCGAUUUGAGUGCUCUAGGGUUUGGGUUGACCCGACGAAAUUAAGCGGUGACAAGAAAUAGUGAAAGAACGCGUUUCGUAGCUGUUCGGCAUUACCAAAGGUGGGGGAGUGCCAUCCCAAAGCUAUCGGGCUACUCUUUAUGUCCAAGUUUAAUUAUGAUCUAAAUUGCAUAUUGUGCAUGUUCAUAUAGGGUUAGAGGUUGAUUAUGUUGCUUACAAUUGCAUGCUAGUAGCUAUAAAUAUGCUUGGUUGGUUGAUUUAUGAUCUAGUAUGCAAGAUGGUUAUAUGAUGAGAACUCUAUGAUGAAAAUAUAAACCCUAUAUGAGAUGAAUAAUGCUUAUGUUGCUAAAGAACUACUAUGAUGUAACUAGUGUUGAUAAUGAGUCAAAAUUGACGAGUGGCAUCUAACAUAGAGAACUAUGAUGAGUAGCAUAUGAUUGUCGAUAGCUUAUGAUACGAGAAUCCUAGUGUAGCUGAAACACUUUGAGAUUGGGUAUUAGAACACCAUGAUUCUAUGCUGAGAUUACCCUCAAAGGGUAGGUUGCUGUUGAUCGUGAGUUGAUCGUGCUCACAUAGCCUGUCUGCGCUUCGUGGGGUCGCUCCCCUCAAGCUGUGCUCUCCGGAGUUUGGUCACUAGAGGGGCAGCCGCUUGCUGCCCGGAUAGCCGCUAGCUAUCCGCAGGCGGUCUCGGGAGUAGUUCAGUGAGACUUUCCCUAUGAGACUUACACGUGAGAUGUGCUUGUGAACCCCGUGUUCACUAUGAGAUUUGGUCACCUAUUGAGUCAUACUCAGUACUUGUUGUUCAUAGUAGCUUACUUGUUGUUCAUAGUAGCUUAUUUGCUGUUCCUAGUAGCUUGCUUACAUAGCUUACCUCUAUAGUUGUUGUUGAUGUUCAUAGUAGCUUGCUUACCCAGUUUUAUUAUUGUUCAUGCAUUCAUGACACCAGAUUGAGGAAUAGCUAGAUGUACUUACUCCACCUACCUACUUUCGUUUCCGCACAGUUUUAUAUAUUGCAUAUAUCUCUCUAUACCUGAUUAGACCUAGUGGGUAGAUCGGCGGAGUCGGCGGCCGAACCCACUGGGAACUACUCGUAGUUCUCACAACCCACAUUACAGGUGCUAGUUCGAGCAUCCCGACCGAGCGGGAGGAUCGCGGCAAGGGCAUAGCGCCCUAGCGGUAUCAGUUGAUAGUUUUACCUUUCCUACUUGCAUUAGCUCUACCCUGUACCUAUAUUCAUUUUGAGAGUAGAUGUUGUAUAGGGUGAGGUUUUGGAGAGUGAUUGAUGUACUCAUAUUUUGAAGAAAAGAAUGCAAGUUGUAUCAAAUUGCUUAAAGUUAAUGAUAUUGGAAAAAGUUUAUAUGCUUCAAGUUUAUGGUUUAAAUAGCUAAGUUUCUCUCUUUUGUAUACUUGUAUGGAUUUACUUGUAUCGCUUGCUCUUGGUUUUGCAGCACUGUUUGUGCUUCGCUAUCGUUGUUGCAUUGAUCAUGUAUGAUUACAAGUGUUGAUCCUGGGGACUUGUGUACAUGAUCUCGUUGUUGAGCCUAGGGCGGGCAGGGGAGACUCUGCCCGUUCGGCCUCACGCCGCCGCCCUCGAAACGGACCAAAUAGGUACUGUCCUUCGGGUAGUGCGGUCGGGGCGUGACAAACAUAAAUGUGCAUGAAAAACUAGGUUGAUAACCCUAGAAUGAUUACGGUAAAUGAUGCUAAGCUAAGAAUGCUAAAGUAUAAAUGAUAAGCAUGAUAUGAAUAUGGUAAAGGCUAGCACAUGUUAAGAAUGCUAAGUAAGAAAUAUAUAUAGGUGGACAUGAAUAAACCUAUAGAUCGAGUGGCAUUGAACCUAGUGUCGAGCACAUAGGUUAAACAAAUGUGAUUUUGAACCUAGUAUCGGUGAACAUAGGUUAAAUAAGAAUGAUGCUAAACCUAGAGUCAAGUGAACCUAGGUUGGAACAAAGGUUGUGAUAUAAACGUGCUUAACCUAGAGUCAAGUGAACCUAGGUUGGAAAGAAUAAUAAUCCUAGUGUAAUAAACCUAGGUUAAGAAUGUGAAAGCAAUGAACCUAAUGGGCUAACUUAGGUUGAGUAAAGGCUUAGACCUAGAGAGGUCAGUUCCAUAGGGUUAAGACCAACCCUUGGUUAAUGUGAUAUGGAUUCCGGAAUCCCAAAGCUUAAUGAUACACCCAAAGUGGUGUUGGGUGUGUGCGACGAUUUCG
rnacentral:lncRNA from 1 species